rnacentral:rRNA from 1 species
AACGCUAGCUACAGGCUUAACACAUGCAAGUCGAGGGGCAUCAGGGUAGCAAUACCGCUGGCGACCGGCGCACGGGUGAGUAACACGUAUCCAACCUACCGUUAACUCGGGGACAGCCUUUCGAAAGAAAGAUUAAUACCCGAUAGUAUAUUUUCUUCGCAUGUUGAAAAUAUUAAAGAGUUUCGGUUAUCGAUGGGGAUGCGUUCCAUUAGGCAGUUGGCGGGGUAACGGCCCACCAAACCUACGAUGGAUAGGGGUUCUGAGAGGAAGGUCCCCCACAUUGGAACUGAGACACGGUCCAAACUCCUACGGGAGGCAGCAGUGAGGAAUAUUGGUCAAUGGACGAAGGUCUGAACCAGCCAAGUGGCGUGAAGGAUGACUGCCCUAUGGGUUGUAAACUUCUUUUAUAUGGGAAUAAAGUUCUCCACGUGUGGAGUUUUGUAUGUACCAUUAUGAAUAAGCAUCGGCUAACUCCGUGCCAGCAGCCGCGGUAAUACGGAGGAUGCGAGCGUUAUCCGGAUUUAUUGGGUUUAAAGGGAGCGUAGGUGGACUGGUAAGUCAGUUGUGAAAGUUUGCGGCUCAACCGUAAAAUUGCAGUUGAUACUGUCAGUCUUGAGUACAGUAGAGGUGGGCGGAAUUCGUGGUGUAGCGGUGAAAUGCUUAGAUAUCACGAAGGACUCCGAUUG